rnacentral:ncRNA from 2 species
CAACACCGCGUGGGAGAGCCCAGCGGGCCGGUCGAGCCCGCAGGCGCCGAAGGAGCAACACCUCUCCGUCAAUCUCUCAGGCAACAGGACCAUGCGGGUUGG